UACGGAGGAUGCAAGCGUUGUCCGGAAUCAUUGGGCGUAAAGGGUCCUGAGGUGGUUUGCUCAGUCCACUGUGAAAGUUCAGGGCUUACCCUUGAAAAUGCGGUGGAAACUAGUAGGCUAGAGUACGGUGGGGGCAGAGGGAAUUCCCGGAUGUAGCGGUGAAAUGCAUAGAUAUCGGGAAGAACACCGAUGGCGAAGGCACUCUGCUGGGCCGAUAUUGACGCUGAGGAGCGAAAGCGUGGGGAGCGAACAGG
rnacentral:rRNA from 1 species